rnacentral:RNase_P_RNA from 1 species
CCAGUCGGCCGGGCAGUCGCGUCGUCGCCUUCGGGCGGCGCCGAGGAAAGUCCGGGCUCCAUCCGGCACGGUGGUGGGUAACGCCCACCCGGAGCGAUCCGCGGGACAGUGCCACAGAGAGCAGACCGCCGGCCCGCGAGGGCCGGUAAGGGUGAAAGGGUGGUGUAAGAGACCACCGCGGUCCCGGUGACGGGACCGGCAUGGUAAACCCCACCGGGAGCAAGGUCAGACAGGGAACGCCGAGGGUGCCGGCCCGAGUUCCCGGGUGGACCGCUGGAGGUCGUCGGCAACGGCGAUCCGAGAGGGAUGACUGCCGAUCACAGAACCCGGCUUACAGGCCGGCUGGCCCC